ACGCCUAUAAAAUAAAAAUAGAAUUUUUAUUAGGAUUUACGCCAGACAACUUGAGCUGUGGGACUGUAUCGUUCGUCUGAUGGCCCAGAGCGGCACUCUCGCCACACACACUUUUAGGGUCUCCCCUUAUUCACUUGGAUCAUUUAACCCGAGUUAAGCCUGUGAAUUCUUUUAUUAUAAGAAGAAACACUGAGUAAAGCUUGAGCGUCCUCAAGUGCUUUAUUUCUACAUUUUUACUCGCUGUUGACGCUAUAAACCAAACAAGCAUUAGUUGGAGACUUUGGCUGAUUCAUUUUUCUUAUAAUUUCGUCCUUUAAUUUUCUACCAAGUUGUUUUUCCGGAAGAUGAAGAGGAUUGCUUUCCUUGGAUGAACUAAAUCAUUCCGGAAUUUGAUGCUUUCACUGGUCGUAUAUGAUAUUGCCUCUGCCUGUUCCUCUCCAUACUGCAUUUUUGUCAACAUAGAUAUGUACGUUUCACAGUUCUGGUAAUAAUAUUUUCUGUUCCUUUUAUGAGUUUAUUGCUCAAUCUACUUAUUUCAUUUUCAAAGUAUGAAACAAAUUUAAGUCGUUCGAACGAUCUCUGUGCAAGUCCAGUUGUCACAUAGUUAUGCGAAUGAAUACAUCGUUUAGACAUUUUUUUAUCAUGUCCAAAUAAACCAACUGUAGCAGUUUUUCGCGUGACAUAUUCAGGACUCCUCAGCGUGUACAUAUGUAGCGUAUGAAGCAUUUUAGGUGAAAUUAAAUUGCAUAACAAUUCUCGUCUUUGUUUUUGGUUUUGUUUGUGAUGUCCUAUUAUAUUUGUUAUAUUUGUAGCCGAAGCUGCUCCCAUGCGUAUGUUUGACGAUACAAUGCAGCAUAGCCACACCUACUUUUAUUAGAAUGUUGUGGUCUAGUCAUGCCAUGCUUUUCCUCACUGGAAACAUCCGAGGAACCUUAAUGGGCCAGAACUGAUGGAGAUUGCUUGGCCCAAAGAGCUGUGUCACGUUUCCGUAAUGAUUGUAAUUAUGAAUCGUAAAUUUAGUAGACUUUGUAUGAACGACAUAGUCACAUAUGAAAGUAUGGGAUGUCACAUAUUAUGUGUAUAGGUACACACAAUCUGGAUUAAGCACGGAGAUUAGUGAUAAUAUAGGACGGAAGUAAAAAGCGUGCCAUCGGCCCACUCGUUUGCACCACCUACAGCGAAUUCUCAUUUAUACAUUUAUUACACAAAAUUGUCUUAUUUUCAAAUCACAAAACAAAUUGAAAUGUUACGAAUAUGUAGUAAAGCUUUGAACAUAUUUAGAUCUAUAUGUGUAUAAAAUAGUCGCCAAGAUAAAGUUUACUAUCAAAUCCACUGCGUCAGGUGUAGUCAGUCAGCAUUAGCUAUGUUCCUUCAAGUAGUGAUUACUCACUUCCAUCUUCAUCAGUUGGAAAAUUUACUCCAUACGAACAGAUUAUUUCAGACUGAAUUACACAAAAUGGAAGGUGGAUCGAACUAUUAUUAGUUAGGAACAAAAGUUUCCCUUACUUUUCCCUUCAAGUCUUGUUCAUCCAAUUCAUUUCCAAAGUUCAGCACACUACCGAA